GAGUUGAGUUGAGUUGUAUAAUAAGUUGAGAUUUUUCACUUGAUAAGAACCUAUAAUUAGUUUCUAACAGUAACUUUAAGGUAUAUGGUUUUGAUAAGUUGGUCCGACAAAUAUGCUUUUCAUAACUCAUUUGUUCCUUAUAAACUCUUUAUGGCAUUUGACCAGUUUAUUACAAGACCAACAGAUUCCCCUGCACCCCAACCUUCAUCUGGUGAUAGAAAUCAUGUUAUAUAAUAAGUUUUCCUUAAUUCUCAUGUCCUCUUUCAGUUCUCAUGUAUGAUACUAAAAAUAUGAAUUUCAAACAUAUGAAUUAAACCUUGUUUGGAAAAUUCCAUAAAAGUCUCAUAGCAAGCCUUGAUGCCAAAUUCACACCAUGCCUAGUUGCCUUAACAGUGGUUUUUCCUGCAAAGUUCUAGUUCUGAUUCUUGAGCUUGAAUCAUAUCUCAUGCUAUUAAUUAAGGAUGUAGAAAGAUGUUAAAUGACCAACUCCCAUACUGUAUACUCCUAAAUGUCUUUGUGGAUUGAAAUACUCAGAAAUUUUCACUCUUUAAAGCUUCCAAUAGACUAUCUCCUCUAAAAGACAAGCAUAUAGCAGUAGUGUGCUUCUGUGACAUGAGGUAGCCAUUGUUAGGAUUUAGACUCCUAGGUGAAUGCCAGUUUUGCACGAAUCAAUUUGCGUAGAGUGUAAAUCUGCUCAGUCUCGCAAACAGCUGGGUUUAGUUUCAAUUAAUCAUGAGAUGAUUAUUUUUGUUUAUCUAAACUGCAAUCCAAAGAUUAAUCUUUCUUACAAAAUGCCAUCGGAAAUAGAAUAGAAUAAAAAUUUCAGUCUCUAUGCAGCUUCUUGCUAAUGUGAUUGUUUUUUUCUCUUGAUGUGAAUCGUUUGGCAAUGUGAUAUAUGGCUUUAACUGUUCUCAGGAUCCAAGAGUUGAGUUGAGUCUCUUGGUGGUUGAAUUUUUCUCACUAAUGCUCAAUCACACAUGUCCUGGCCCUAGUAGCCCUGAAAAGGCAUUCUUAUGAAUAAAAUGCAUUUCAAUUUAACAUAAGCCUUGAGAGCUAGCUUGUUCUAUGUUAAUCAGUCAGCCUAUUUCAUACCUUUAUCAGUCUUUUGUUCUAACCUACUUCCAAGUGUCGUAUUGCUGUUGAUUUAUGUAGUAAAAUUUAACGUUCAAAUGCUAGUUCUCUCUCAUUUGGAAGAGUUUUUAGUCUAAUGUAAUACCAAUAUUCUACUAGGGCCUUUACAUAGAUAAUAUGCUAAGAAUUUUUUGCAGGAAUUUGCUCCAGAAACAGUGGAAUCAUGCAUCUACAAGGGUCACCUGAGCCAGCAGUUACUGCAAGUGAAGAUUUGAUUUCAGUUCAAUUUUACAAGAACUCUGCCUAUGAGGGUGAUGGACGUGGCUCUAGCUCACCAAGGUGUGUAUUCCUUGUAUUUGUUCUUGUUGCAGUAUUAAUCAAGUUAUCAAUGCAUUUUGUCGUGGUAGACAUGAAUCUUUCAUGCACACUAGAUGCUGAUUAUGAGAAUGCAAGAAGACAUCGCUACUCUCUCUCAUUCAUUUGUUAAGCCUACAUUUUGUGUGUACACAGUUUGGUGGAAGGCCAAGUUUCAGGUUCAGAAUUGAGUAAGAAGAAGUAGAGUUGCCUAAUUUCCUGUUCCAUCUGUAAAAUUUUGCCGACAUCUGCAGCAUGGAAGCUAAGUUAGACUCGAAUAACUUAUCCUUUGUAAACUGAAGCCUAGGCAGCAGCGCUUGAACCAAUCUGAUUUUUGUAUAGAUGUGGGCAGAAACCAAGUUUGGAGAGAUGUUUGUCAAAUAGGUAGUUUGGUACAGUAAUUAACCUGUAAGGUUAUAAGUAUUUCUUGCCAGAUUUUGUGUUGCCAUGUGAAAUCAUUUAGUAACUUCGAGCCUUACAUGUGUAAUUCUACAAGGUUUUUAUAGUCCUAAAACAAAGAAUGUUGGGCGUUGCCCAAGAACACAAAAGAAGCUGAGGUCGGUACAUAAAAUGAAAGGGUGAUCCUACGCUUCCCAGCCCAACCAAAAAUGGCUGCCCUAGAACACUGCUCCUGAGCAGCUACAAAGCUCCACCUGUGCUUGAAGUUGGGCUUUAUCCAAAUACAUCUCCAAUUCCAACAUAAGUAGGUUGUAAUCGUGAAAGAUGUGUCAACGGCUCAAGCCUCAAGCACCUUUAAUGGCUCCUGUGUGUCAAUGUCAUCACUUAAAUUGGAGUUUCCAUGAGCAGUAGUAGUUCUGAUUUCUCAGAAAUAAUUGAAAAUUGUCUAAUCUGUCUCUCGAAAUUCUAAAACGUGGAUAAAUCAAUAAGGUGGGAGUGUGGCUAUAAAUGUUAUGAAUUGAAAAGAAGUAUAUAGAAAGAAAUAAUA
rnacentral:misc_RNA from 1 species